AUGUAUAGAAGCCACGAGGAUUGGCGGUGGAUCAUAUGUCUCAGUCGUACGAUCUACGGAGAUGUUGGGAAAAGGCCUAGCAGGAUGGCUCUUUGCUGGAAACGCGAGUCACUGUCCAUGCGCAAAUCAAGAAAGAGCACGAGAAGAAAUGUAGAGCAUGGGAUUUGGGCUUUCUCAUGUCUUGUCUUUUCCAAGAUAAGAAACCAAAUCAAACCGUGGAGAACUGUGAAUCAUUUUCGGAAACAGGAUUUCGAUGCAACAAAUCAGAAGCGAGGUCGCACCACACGCGAACAAUACAAUGAUGGGGACCUGCUCGCAUUGCAUCUGAAUUCUGAACCGAACAGAGCAUCCGGAGCACUGGGAGAGAAAUGCAACCAAUAUACGGAGGAAGGAACAAAGGGGGCGAGCAGAGAGAGAUGUAGAUGGAGAAGAAAAGGGAAGUGA
rnacentral:rRNA from 1 species